ensembl:snRNA U6 U6 spliceosomal RNA
GUUCUUGCUUUGGCAACUUGUAUGAACACUGGAACAACACAGAGAAGAUGAGCAUGGCCCGUCUGCAAGGAUCAUGUGCAAAUUUAUGAAGCACUUCGUAUUUUU